UACAGAGGUCCCAAGCGUUGUUCGGAUUCACUGGGCGUAAAGGGUGCGUAGGUGGUGAGGUAAGUCGGAUGUGAAAGCUCCGAGCUCAACUCGGAAAUGGCAUUGGAAACUACCUUGCUCGAGGGUUUGAGGGGGGACUGGAAUACUUGGUGUAGCAGUGAAAUGCGCAGAUAUCAAGAGGAACACCUGCGGCGAAGGCGGGUUGCUGGGCCGACACUGACGCUGAGGAGCGAAAGCGUGGGGAGCGAACAGG
rnacentral:rRNA from 1 species